rnacentral:lncRNA from 1 species
CAAGAGCAUUAAGAACCAUUUUUCUACUGAUCUUUUAGGUCUCACAUAGUCUGGGAAACCUUUACAUCCACCCUCAAAUACCACCAGUCAAGAUGAAGAGCACCAUGAUAAAUGACCUGAAUCUCCCAGGAAUGACUAAAUUAUUAUCCUUGCUGUCACUGAAAGUCAGGACUGGUGAACAUCUUAUGAACAGGGUAUGA